AUAGUUCGUCAUCUCUACAAAGGAAUUUCGCGCUUCAGUCCCCUUCCCAACCAGCGGCAGGUACAUAUCCACUUUAUCCGUCAUCUGGGACUCCAAUUAAACCUCUCUUAAACCCCAACACUCUCUUCAAAUCCCUUCUCCUUCACAAACCUUUGUAAUUUCCUUCUGACCCAUUAAAACGAUGCAAAUUUCCAUGGCCAUUUCGCCACUCACAGCUCCUCAAGUUUUCCCAUUUCAUCAACCCAUUUUACAGUCACCGAAACCUCAGAAAAUUGCUCUCCAGAGACAUGGGAAUCCUGUAAAUUCCUUCAGAGAUUCGGGUCUCUUAUCCACAAUCGGCGUCGAAGAAGAAUACCGCAGAGCUCGGUCACAGGUUCAUCGAAAGGGGGUGGAUUUAGAAGGGUAUUCGAUCGAGGGCAUUUCAGUUGGUGGGCAAGAAACCUGUAUUAUUAUUCCUGAAUUCAAGUGUGCAUUUGAUAUUGGGAGGUGCCCAUCUCGAGCCAUUCAGCAAAACUUUGUAUUCAUCACUCACGCCCACCUUGAUCACAUUGGUGGGCUGCCAAUGUAUGUAGCUAGUCGUGGUUUAUAUAGUUUAAGUCCUCCUACGGUAUUUGUGCCUCCUUGUAUCAAGGAAGAUGUGGAGAAACUACUUGAGAUUCACAGGACCAUGGGCCAGGUUGAGUUGGACGUUGAUCUGGUUGCACUAGAUGUAGGAGACACAUAUGAAAUGCGGAAUAACCUUGUCUGCAGAGCAUUUGAAACAAAUCAUGUAAUUCCGAGCCAGGGUUAUGUUAUUUAUUCGGUUAGAAAAAAAUUGAAGAAGCAAUACAUGCAUCUUAAGGGGAAACAGAUCGAGAAGCUAAAGAAAUCUGGUGUCGAGAUUACAGACACCAUAUUGUCCCCGGAGGUUGCCUUCACAGGAGAUACAAGGACAGAUUUUAUGCUUGAUCCACGUAAUGCCGAUGCUUUGAGGGCGAAAAUUCUAAUAACUGAGGCAACUUUUCUGGAUGAAGGAGUUAGCAUAGAACAUGCAAGGGAACAUGGUCAUACUCACAUAUUUGAGAUCAUUGAAAAUGCACAGUGGAUUCGAAAUAAAGCUAUUCUGCUUACUCAUUUUUCAUCCCGAUACCAUAUAGAGGACAUCCGGAAAGCGGUAUCAAAGUUACAGUCCAAGGUGACAGCAAAAGUCGUUCCUCUCACUGAAGGUUUCAAGUCAGUGUAUUAAUGUAGGCUAUGGGAUUCUUGGGAACAAAGUGUAAUUAUAUUUAGCAUCAAAGCAGAGAAACUGGAACAUAGGAAACGGAGGGAAAUUCCCAGCUUUUUAGGCUCUGUGGUGUGAAGGCUUAGCCUAUAGCUUACAUCAUUCCAGUUGAGGACAGUACCAAUACACUGCAACAUAUCAUAAAAGUGAUAGGAGACAUCACUGUGACAAAAUAGUCCCAAAUUCAUUUCAACCACACAAUAGAUCCAAACAGAGAAUGAGUGAUGUACUUUCUUUGUUCUUACAACACCCUAUCAUUUCGAUCAAUACCAUAACAUUUCUCGUCUUCUAC